GGUACAUCUUUAGUUUGACAGAGAAGGAAAACUGGGUGCCCAACUAUCCUGGUAACCCAUUAUGCAAGCAUUUUUUUUCUAAUUGAACGAUGAAAAGGGAUAACUAGAAAAGCUUUCUAACCGUGCUUUAUGCCAUUAAAACUCAACGAGAUUCCCAAUCCUUUAACUUCUUGCUUCCUUUGGGUUUCAAUAUUGGUGCAUUCAUUCCGGCCAUUUUUGCAUUGUAUUUUGCCCGAAGAGGAUCGUUAUAGGUCCAAGGGUU
rnacentral:misc_RNA from 1 species